rnacentral:rRNA from 1 species
UAUCUCUGUAGAGUCUGCAUAUCAAUAAGCGGAGGAAAAGAAACUAACAAGGAUUCCCUUAGUAACGGCGAGCGAAGCGGGAAGAGCUCAAAUUUGAAAUCUUCAAGGUUCUACCUUGGCGAAUUGUAGUUUAAAGAAGUGUUUUCUGUUAGAUGAGUAGCAAAAGUUCCUUGGAAUGGGACAUCAUAGAGGGUGAGAAUCCCGUAUUUGGUUAUUCAUUCUAGCUUUGUGAUACACUUUCAAAGAGUCGGAUUGUUUGGGAAUGCAGUCCAAAAUGGGUGGUAAAUUUCAUCUAAAGCUAAGUAUUGGCGAGAGACCGAUAGCGAACAAGUACCGUGAGGGAAAGAUGAAAAGAACUUUGAAAAGAGAGUUAAACAGUACGUGAAAUUGUCAAAAGGGAAGCGUUUGACACCAGUGUUGUUUUUCCGAAAAUCAAUUACGAAUGGCUUGAUUCUGUGUUGUAUUGACCUUAUCAGCUUUCUUCACUUUUUUCGAGUCUUUCUUAAUACACUUUUCGGUUAACAAGUCAACAUCAAUUUCUUUUGUUGUAAAAGAGUAUUCGGAAGGUGGCUUUCUUUUCGGAGAAAGUGUUUAUAGCCCUAUACUUCUACAAUCGGAGAGAUUGAGGUCUGCAGCGUAGAUCCUUCGGGGUUAGAUACACUUGUGCUAAGUUGUAGCUUUUCAUAGACAACUUGUUGACUAUGUUUAGUCAUGCGGCUUACUCGCUUAUGCUAUUUUACCUACGCUUAGGAUGUUGAAGAUGUAGCACAUCAU